GUUCGCAUGCAUUCGUCUUCAAGAAAGCGAGCAGCGUGGUUGAAGUUUAAGCGGCCUUGCACAGUGAAAACGCCAACUGUCUCGUUAGUCAGAGAGAGCGCGAUUUUAGUGCCAAGAAAAAAAAGGACGAAACGAAAAGAAAUAAUCAAGAACGGAUUCCAGUGUGGCAUUAUCAUUCCUACUUUCUAAAGAAGAUCUACGGAAUCUGUUUUUCGUCAAUCUCAGUUCUGGGGGAAAGUGGAGAAAAACAGACUAAAAUACAGAGAUCGAACAAUAAACUUAUUUGCUGUUCUUUGCGAUUGAUGGUGAAAACAUAGAGCUUUUUAAUGGAGAUCAGGGAAGCUUGUCCUUCUUGUCCAUUCCGGAUUAAGAGUGCACUAAUAGCAAAAUUCAUCAUUCUACUUCUUGUGACAGCAACAUUAACUGAAGGGGCGCCUAUUCCCGGUCACUAUUUGGAGGAAACACCAGGAGAGGAUCGGUCUUACCAUAUUCACAAUUUCGUGAAGAGAAUGCAUAAGCUAUUCAGUUUAAUACAGUUUACAAUAAGGCAUAAUCUUGGCAUGUUUUGAAAAAUGUAAAUUAUUGUCCAUACAAACCACUGAGUGAUUUCAGUCAACUGAUUUUAUUUUCUAAAUGUAUCUUAAGAACUUUGAGAGAUGUCUUACCUCCAAUAAAUUCAUUUUGUACAAGGA
rnacentral:lncRNA from 1 species